GAAAACACGCAUCAACGUCGUCGUGAAAUCGUCAUCUGCCAAGAGGUUCUCGUCGAUCAGGUUUGCAGCAGUCGAUCUUUUCAAAAAUUGUAUCGAAAGGUGUCAUCAUGAUAGGAGAAAGGAAACAAGAUUUAUAUAUUGCUUUGAAAGAAGAAAGUAAGGUUC
rnacentral:lncRNA from 1 species